GACGAACGCUGGCGGCGUGCCUAAUACAUGCAAGUUGAGCGAUGAAGCUUGGUGCUUGCACCAAUUUGAAGAGCAGCGAACGGGUGAGUAACGCGUGGGGAAUCUGCCUUUGAGCGGGGGACAACAUUUGGAAACGAAUGCUAAUACCGCAUAACAACUUUAAACAUAAGUUUUAAGUUUGAAAGAUGCAAUUGCAUCACUCAAAGAUGAUCCCGCGUUGUAUUAGCUAGUUGGUGAGGUAAAGGCUCACCAAGGCGAUGAUACAUAGCCGACCUGAGAGGGUGAUCGGCCACAUUGGGACUGAGACACGGCCCAAACGCCUACGGGAGGCAGCAGGAGGGAAUCUUCGGCAAGGGACGAAAGUCUGACCGAGCAACGCCGCGUGAGUGAAGAAGGGUGUCGGAUCGUAAAACUCGGUUGGUAGAGAAGAAAGUUGGUGAGAGUGGAAAGCUCAUCAAGUGACGGUAACUACCCAGAAAGGGACGGCUAACUACGUG
rnacentral:rRNA from 1 species